rnacentral:rRNA from 1 species
GAUGAACGCUGGCGGCGUGCCUAAUACAUGCAAGUAGAACGCUGAAGGAAGGAGCUUGCUCUUUCCGGAUGAGUUGCGAACGGGUGAGUAACGCGUAGGUAACCUGCCUGGUAGCGGGGGAUAACUAUUGGAAACGAUAGCUAAUACCGCAUAACAGUAGAUGUUGCAUGAUAUCUACUUAAAAGGUGCAAUUGCACCACUACCAGAUGGACCUGCGUUGUAUUAGCUAGUUGGUGAGGUAACGGCUCACCAAGGCGACGAUACAUAGCCGACCUGAGAGGGUGAUCGGCCACACUGGGACUGGGACACGGCCCAGCCUCCUACGGGAGGCAGCAGUAGGGAAUCUUCGGCGAUGGCCGGAAGUCUGACCGAGCAACGCCGCGUGAGUGCAGAAGGUUUUCGGAUCGUAAAGCUCUGUUGUACGAGAAGAACGAGUGUGAGAGUGGAACGUUCACACUGUGACGGUAUCUUACCAGAAAGGGACGGCUAACUACGUG